rnacentral:rRNA from 1 species
AUGUGCGGGACCAGUUCGCAUGACCUCUUCCCUGAGAAGGACUCCAACACAGCUACUGGAAAGAGCCUUACUCGCAACUGGACAAUGAAGGCGGCUUUGGAGCAACAUCAACUAGUCGGGCGAGAGGGAGCAAUGUCUGAAGUCAUUAAACUAAUUCGUGAAGAGGGUGAUCGUUUACAUGUUAUCUCCGUGUGGGGAAUGGGUGGCAUGGGGAAAACCACCCUUGUUAGAAGUGUCUACGGAAGCGAAGAGCUUAGUGGCAUGUUUCAGAAGAGAGCUUGGGUUACCAUAUUGCAUCCUUUCAACCGUGAGCAGUUCUUUAGGAGCUUAGCCAUGCAAUUACACUCAGAUGAUACCGGAAAGGACGUUAGCUUGAUGGGAGAUGGCACUGAAAAAAGGUUGCAAGUGAUGGAAAUUGCGGAUUUGAUAAAAGAGACAUUCCGGCUUUUAGACAGGCUAACGUACCUCAUUGUUCUCGAUGACCUGUCGUCCAACACAGAAUGGGAUUCAAUAAUACCGCAUUUCCCUAAGGAUGAGAUGACCAGUCGGAUCAUAAUCACCACAAGGGAAGCAAGUGUUGCUAGCCGUUGUUCCAAGAAAUACAAGCUGAGAUCUCUAGGGGAUGAUGCCGCACUAGACCUCUUCAAAAAGAAGGUGUUUAGUGGUACUGAAAUGGUUGAUUUAACCGGUACCAUGAGGGAUCAGGCAGAACUUAUUCUUAAAAAGUGUGAUGGGCUUCCCCUUGCCAUUGCCACUAUAGGUGGCUUUCUAGCAACCAAACCCAAAACAAGUUUGGAAUGGAGGAAACUGAAUGAUCAUAUCAGUGUGGAGUUGGAGAACAAUCCAGAACUUGAAAUGAUAAAGACAGUCCUUAUGUCAAGUUAUGAUGGUUUACCAUAUCAUCUCAAGUCUUGCCUUCUGUAUUUCUCAAUUUUUCCGGAAGACAAAAACGUUAGACAUGGACGGCUAAUAAGGCGGUGGAUUGCUGAGGGUUACUCAAAGGAAAUGAGAACCAAAACUGCCGAGGAAGUAGCCGAGGAAUACUUUACUGAUAUUAUUAACAGGAGCAUGGUGCAACAACUGAAAACUAGAGCUCCUUACACUGGGAAAAUUACUGAUUCCUGCCAAGUUCAUGAUCUAAUGCGUGAAAUAUGUAUCUCAAAGUCAGACGAGGAGAACCUUGUUUUUGUACUGGAUGAGCAUUGCACCUUGCAACCUACAGAUAAAAUACGGCACCUUGUUGUGCGCGGUAGUUGGAGCAGAGACCAAAAGAAGAAAGUGUUGGGAAGUGUAUUGGACGUGUCCCACAUUCGAUCCCUGACUGUAUUUGGAGAGUGGAAAUCUUUUUUCAUUUCUAAGAAAAUGAGAUUGCUUCGGGUGCUUGACUUAGAAGACACCGAAAAUCUGCGGGAUCACGACCUUGCGCCAAUUGGGAAGCUUCACCACCUGAAGUACCUAUCUUUAAGAGGUUGCUUAUAUAUAUACCAUCUCCCAGAUUCAUUUGGUAAUCUGUCAGAGCUGGAGACACUGGAUAUAAGAAGUACAUUUGUGGUCACAUUGCCAGCAAGCAUCACAAAGCUCUCAAAGUUAAAAUACUUCCGUGCCGGUCUCGUACCUACAGAUGAUGUGCUUCCCAGCAGUUAUGUCAGAGAAAUUGAUCAGCCCUUGAAGGAGUUUGGCUUAGCAGCUUACAAGAGCUACGUACAGAAAAAAUCCAUUCAUGACUUGGAUGCAGUACCAUAUCUCUUCUUUCAGGCCCGUAUCUGGUUGCGAGGGUGGGAUGAGCAUGGCAUGAAAGUGCCCAGAGGGAUUGGGAGAAUGAAGGCCCUGCACACACUGGGUGUUGUCAACAUUGCACGGGCGAGGGCCAUGCCAAAGGAGCUGAAGAAGCUUACUUGGUUGCGUAAGCUUGGAGUGACUGGCAUCAACAAGAAAAACUGCAAGGAGCUCUGCUCUGCUAUCGUCAAUCAUGGCCGCUUGCUGUCCUUGUCGAUGCGCGCCGAGGGUGAGCCUGGCUUAGAAGGAUGUCUGGAUGACUUGUCCCCUCCUCCAGAUAGCCUCCAAAGCCUUAAGUUGUAUGGCUAUCUGGUCAAAUUGCCUACAUGGAUCGAACAGCUUCAGAUGCUAACCAAGUUAACUCUACGGAGUACCCAACUGGAGUAUCAUGCCAUAUUAGUACUUGCGAAGCUCCCAAAUCUUGCCAUUCUGCGUCUUUGUGAUGGUUCGUUUAGGUGGGCUGAACUCAACUUCCAUUUCUGCCCUGAGAGCUUUAAAAGUCUGACGGCAUUGGAGCUUGAAUUUCUACCUGGCCUCAACUCGGUUGAGUUUGAACAAAAUGCAAUGCCUAAUCUUGAGCUGAUACGGGUACUCCAUUGUUUUUAUGGAGGUGCCGAUGGGUUUUCCGGGAUACAAUUUCUGUCAGGUCUCAAGGAAGUUUCACUCAAGGGUCACAAGGGCGACUUCAAUGAAAAAUUCAAGAAAGACUUGCGGGAACAACUGUCCAAGAAUUCUAACAAGCCAAAUCUGAAGAUGGAGGACAUGGCGAAAUGGCUCUCGGCUGCACCUGCUCCCGCUCUUAUCUUGAACAGUAAAUUCGAAACAAACAAUUAG